AACGAACGCUGGCGGCAGGCCUAACACAUGCAAGUCGAGCGAGGACUUCGGUCCUAGCGGCGGACGGGUGAGUAACGCGUGGGAAUGUGCCCUUCUCUACGGAAUAGCCCUGGGAAACUGGGAGUAAUACCGUAUACGCCCUAUUGGGGAAAGAUUUAUCGGAGAAGGAUCAGCCCGCGUUGGAUUAGGUAGUUGGUGGGGUAAUGGCCUACCAAGCCGACGAUCCAUAGCUGGUUUGAGAGGAUGAUCAGCCACACUGGGACUGAGACACGGCCCAGACUCCGACGGGAGGCAGCAGUGGGGAAUCUUAGACAAUGGGGGCAACCCUGAUCUAGCCAUGCCGCGUGAGUGAUGAAGGCCUUAGGGUUGUAAAGCUCUUUCAGCUGGGAAGAUAAUGACGGUACCAGCAGAAGAAGCCCCGGCUAACUCCGUG
rnacentral:rRNA from 1 species